rnacentral:rRNA from 1 species
GAUGAACGCUGGCGGCGUGCCUAAUACAUGCAAGUCGAGCGAACAGAUGAGGAGCUUGCUCCUCUGACGUUAGCGGCGGACGGGUGAGUAACACGUGGAUAACCUACCUAUAAGACUGGGAUAACUUCGGGAAACCGGAGCUAAUACCGGAUAAUAUAUUGAACCGCAUGGUUCAAUAGUGAAAGACGGUUUUGCUGUCACUUAUAGAUGGAUCCGCGCCGCAUUAGCUAGUUGGUAAGGGAACGGCUUACCAAGGCAACGAUGCGUAGCCGACCUGAGAGGGUGAUCGGCCACACUGGGACUGAGACACGGUCCAGACUCCUACGGGAGGCAGCAGUAGGGAAUCUUCCGCAAUGGGCGAAAGCCUGACGGAGCAACGCCGCGUGAGUGAUGAAGGUCUUCGGAUCGUAAAACUCUGUUAUUAGGGAAGAACAAAUGUGUAAGUAACUAUGCACGUCUUGACGGUACCUAAUCAGAAAGCCACGGCUAACUACGUG